rnacentral:rRNA from 1 species
GACGAACGCUGGCGGCGUGCUUAACACAUGCAAGUCGAACGGAAAGGCCCUGCUUUUGUGGGGUGCUCGAGUGGCGAACGGGUGAGUAACACGUGAGUAACCUGCCCUUGACUUUGGGAUAACUUCAGGAAACUGGGGCUAAUACCGGAUAGGAGCUCCUGCUGCAUGGUGGGGGUUGGAAAGUUUCGGCGGUUGGGGAUGGACUCGCGGCUUAUCAGCUUGUUGGUGGGGUAGUGGCUUACCAAGGCUUUGACGGGUAGCCGGCCUGAGAGGGUGACCGGCCACAUUGGGACUGAGAUACGGCCCAGACUCCUACGGGAGGCAGCAGGGGGGAAUAUUGCACAAUGGGCGGAAGCCUGAUGCAGCAACGCCGCGUGCGGGAUGACGGCCUUCGGGUUGGAAACCGCUUUCGCCUGUGACGAAGCGUGAGUGACGGUAAUGGGUAAAGAAGCACCGGCUUACUACGUG